CGGAUCCAAGUAGAAUACAAAUCAUACAAUCUAAUCAAGAUGUGCUAAUGUGUGGAUGGAAUUUGGUGGAAAGAUGUAUGGACUCCUUUUGUAUGAUUCCAUCUCUCUCCUUUUUUUCUUUCUUUUGGAUAUGGGCUAUCCUUUUCUCUUUCUCUCUUUUUUUCUUUUUUUUCAUCAUGCCUUGAGCAUGGCUUUAUUUAUUUUUGCAUAGCCCAUGUCUCUUUUGCAAGGAUACAUUUGGAGAGAGAUGUCACGCUACAUGUGGAGUUUUAUUUGGUGGAUUGAUGGAUGGACGCGAU
rnacentral:lncRNA from 1 species